rnacentral:rRNA from 1 species
AGAGUUUGAUCAUGGCUCAGAUUGAACGCUGGCGGCAGGCCUAACACAUGCAAGUCGAACGGUAACAGGAAACAGCUUGCUGUUUCGCUGACGAGUGGCGGACGGGUGAGUAAUGUCUGGGAAACUGCCUGAUGGAGGGGGAUAACUACUGGAAACGGUAGCUAAUACCGCAUAACGUCGCAAGACCAAAGAGGGGGACCCUCGGGCCUCUUGCCAUCGGAUGUGCCCAGAUGGGAUUAGCUUGUUGGUGGGGUAACGGCUCACCAAGGCGACGAUCCCUAGCUGGUCUGAGAGGAUGACCAGCCACACUGGAACUGAGACACGGUCCAGACUCCUACGGGAGGCAGCAGUGGGGAAUAUUGCACAAUGGGCGCAAGCCUGAUGCAGCCAUGCCGCGUGUAUGGAGAAGGCCUUCGGGUUGUAAAGUACUUUCAGCGGGGAGGAAGGGAGUAAAGUUAAUACCUUUGCUCAUUGACGUUACCCGCAGAAGAAGCACCGGCUAACUCCGUGCCAGCAGCCGCGGUAAUACGGAGGGUGCAAGCGUUAAUCGGAAUUACUGGGCGUAAAGCGCACGCAGGCGGUUUGUUAAGUCAGAUGUGAAAUCCCCGGGCUCAACCUGGGAACUGCAUCUGAUACUGGCAAGCUUGAGUCUCGUAGAGGGGGGUAGAAUUCCAGGUGUAGCGGUGAAAUGCGUAGAGAUCUGGAGGAAUACCGGUGGCGAAGGCGGCCCCCUGGACGAAGACUGACGCUCAGGUGCGAAAGCGUGGGGAGCAAACAGGAUUAGAUACCCUGGUAGUCCACGCCGUAAACGAUGUCGACUUGGAGGUUGUGCCCUUGAGGCGUGGCUUCCGGAGCUAACGCGUUAAGUCGACCGCCUGGGGAGUACGGCCGCAAGGUUAAAACUCAAAUGAAUUGACGGGGGCCCGCACAAGCGGUGGAGCAUGUGGUUUAAUUCGAUGCAACGCGAAGAACCUUACCUGGUCUUGACAUCCACGGAAGUUUUCAGAGAUGAGAAUGUGCCUUCGGGAACCGUGAGACAGGUGCUGCAUGGCUGUCGUCAGCUCGUGUUGUGAAAUGUUGGGUUAAGUCCCGCAACGAGCGCAACCCUUAUCCUUUGUUGCCAGCUCCGGCCGGGAACUCAAAGGAGACUGCCAGUGAUAAACUGGAGGAAGGUGGGGAUGACGUCAAGUCAUCAUGGCCCUUACGACCAGGGCUACACACGUGCUACAAUGGCGCAUACAAAGAGAAGCGACCUCGCGAGGGCCGGCGGACCUCAUAAAGUGCGUCGUAGUCCGGAUUGGAGUCUGCAACUCGACUCCAUGAAGUCGGAAUCGCUAGUAAUCGUGGAUCAGAAUGCCACGGUGAAUACGUUCCCGGGCCUUGUACACACCACCCGUCACACCAUGGGAGUGGGUUGCAAAAGAAGUAGGUA